rnacentral:lncRNA from 1 species
CACCCAUCCCCCGUUCACACAUCGCCUGUCACACGAAGUGAGACAAACAGUUGACUGCAGCGAUGCAUCUCUCCACUCUCAUACUCAUCGUCCGAGUGCAGGCCGUGUCCCCGGCAGCGCGCCAGUGACCCCGACGUGACCCCGGGGUCUCCCCCGGUCCUGCUGUCCCCCUCCAUCUGCGAGGACGUCUUCUUCAGGGCUGCGGCUGAGGACAAGGACUCCCCCCCUGAGAGUGACUACGACGAGCUCGGUGUCCCUGUGGACGGCGGCGCCGAUGACGACAUCCUAGCGCUGCAAGACACCGACUACUUCCAAGACCUGCAGGGCGGAGAGUCGCUUCGCUCAUCGCUGUCUAUCAGCAUCGGAGUGGACCGGGCCCCUCCCACCUCGUCCCCGUCCACGCCGGACGUGUCGCCGGACAGUCAGAGGACGCAGCUGCCGGCCGUCACUCUGACCGUGAGCAUCCCCAGGGGUGCGGGCGACCCUGCGGUCCUGCUGGACAUGGAGCCCGACGAGGACGUCCUGCCGGGCCUCGUGAGGUCCAUGUCGGUGUCUCGCAGACACAGCUGGGGAGUCGCGGUGUCUCCGCUGGACACGACCAGGAGGCUCAGCCUCAAUGCCUCUGACAUGGACACUGAUCCGGGACAGGAGACCCCUCUGCCAGCCGUGAACGUGCACACCCCCCCGCCCUUCUCGAACCUGCAGUGCCCCCC